rnacentral:rRNA from 1 species
AUUGAACGCUGGCGGCAUGCCUUACACAUGCAAGUCGAACGGCAGCAUGGGUGCUUGCACCUGAUGGCGAGUGGCGAACGGGUGAGUAAUGCAUCGGAGCGUACCCGGAAGUGGGGGAUAACGUAGCGAAAGUUACGCUAAUACCGCAUAUUCUGUGAGCAGGAAAGAGGGGGAUCGCAAGACCUCUCGCUUUCGGAGCGGCCGAUGUCGGAUUAGCUAGUUGGCGGGGUAAAGGCCCACCAAGGCAACGAUCCGUAGCGGGUCUGAGAGGAUGAUCCGCCACACUGGGACUGAGACACGGCCCAGACUCCUACGGGAGGCAGCAGUGGGGAAUUUUGGACAAUGGGGGCAACCCUGAUCCAGCCAUGCCGCGUGAGUGAAGAAGGCCUUCGGGUUGUAAAGCUCUUUCGGCUGGGAAGAAAUCGCAUCUCCUAAUACGGGGUGUGGAUGACGGUACCAGCAUAAGAAGCACCGGCUAACUACGUGCCAGCCGCCGCCGUAA